CCAGAGAAUGCCAUGCCUGGCCCACACCCUUCAGCUCACACUGAAAGAUGCCAUGAAGCACCCAAGUGCUGAUUCAGUCAUAACGAAAGCAAGAAAGCUGGUACACGCUGUGAGGAAUUCGUCAGUGGCAAAUGAAGAAAUGAUCAAAAGGUGUAGCAAAACUCUGGUCCAGGAUUGUAGCACACGCUGGAACAGCACUUUGGAUAUGCUUAGAAGACUGCUGGAGCCCAGAGCUGAACUAGACCAACUACUUGAGGAUUUGGGCAUGGACACACUUCUCACAAGCGAUUGGGCUAAGCUGGAGAACCUUGUCAAGCUGCUUGAUCCCAUUGCCAUUCGCACAGACCAGCUUCAGAGUGACAGCCAGUCACUCUCACAAGUAGUGCUAUGCCUGCUCAACCUUGAGGCACACCUGCUGACGACUACUGUUGGGAAGCAACUAGCUGAAGUCCUUGCGAGAACAUUUCGCUGGCAUUCUUAGCCCUGAUUCCACACAGUUUUAUGCUACACCAGCAGGAGCCUGCCUGAUGGAUCCAAGUGUUUCGCUGGUUCUUCAAUCACCAGACACAGUGCCACUGAGGAGGGCAGCACAGUCCUUUGUGGAGAACCUGGCAGCUAAGUAUAACCCCACUACUGCUCCUCAGGAUGAUGUUGCCACUGCAAGGGCCACUCAAACUCCAACAGGAGCCUCUCCUACUGUUCUUCAGAAAUACCACUUCCUUGCAGCCUAUAUAGAGGUCAACAUGUCAUCCACAAAUCAGCCUAACGUGACCGAUAGUCUGUUGACCGAAAUGAAGUAUGUCAACAGCAUCAAACAGGAUGUGUUUAAUGAGACACCAUUGCAGUUCUGGAAAACAAGAGAGGCUGUCUAUCCAAAACUUUCCCCUGUGGCAUUUGAUCUCGUUACCGCCCCUGCCUCACAAGCCUUUGUGGAGCGCAUCUUCUCUGUGUGUGGAGUGCUGUCACUUGGCCUGAGAAACAGAACAACCACAUCUCUGGAGCAACGGGUUUUCCUCAAGAUCCACAAGAAAUUGUUGCUUGACUGAAGUACACCCAUCUCUCUCUUUCUCACCCGCCCACUGUGAUGGUGCCGGUUCUUCCGGUUGCCGUCUGCCGGACUCUGCUCCUGGUUUUCUUUUUUCUCAUUCCCAGGUAUGGGUAGGUGGGUGGAGCCGUGGAGAGCUGGCACUAAUUCCAUGAUUGAAUACACCUGGAGGCUCUGCUGGAGGCCUAUUUAAGAAGAGCCUGCUCUCCAUUAUGAACUUCCUCUCUUCCCUCUUGAACGGACGCUUUGUUUGAUUUUGUAUUUUACUUUUGCUCAUACACACAUACAUGCACCACACUCAGAUCAAACCAUGUACAUACACCUGCUGUGACACAUAGCCCAUACCAUGUUUACAUUUGUUGGUAUUUGGUUUGUUUGUUGAACUUAAAAUAAAUUAGUUUGUUAUUGUUUUAAACUAGUGGUGGUCUCCCCUUUUAUGUCUUAGUCAUACAAGCCUGACUGUCACAUAUGGGGGCUCGUCCUAACGUUGUUUGUUUUUGUAUGGCCUUGUUGCCCUGUUUCGCAUCGAGUGAGUUUGGUGCACUGUGGCGGUGUUUUCCAACAGUAGCUCCGUCUUUGCGGGGGGGUGUGCGUGCCUGCCCCGUGGUUGGUAAGGACUCGUGGUGGUUUUUUUGAGUCUGGUUGUUGUCUCAUCCAGUUUUGAUGCCUGGAUUGGUUUGCAAGCCCCUAGACUGUUUGCUACCUGCGUCCUGGGAGAGGAAGUGUGAUCGGUUCUAGGUUCCACAAGGACUGGAACUGCCCGCCCCGUUUUCAUCUGCCCUGGUCCUUCGAGAGGUGAGUUGGUGUCUGGAGGAGUUGUCUCGUUCAAAUAACGACCAGUCAGAAAAUGCUCAAAAUAUAGAGGCAUAUGAUUUGGAGAUAAAACACAUUAAUGGUACUGCAAACAUCAUUGCUGAUGCACUCAGCCGCGCGCUGGUUUAGCAUCGGUUUUCAGUGGUGUGGAGGGAGGUACAGAUGUUGGACGUGGAGAGGACGUGGGAUUUGGCAAUAAAGUGCUGUUCGGACGUGACCAGUGAGCCUGGAUCACCAAUCUGGGGAAAGAAACCUUCCCUCGUUUUGCCUUCUCCGUUUUUCUCUCUCUCCCGCUGUCAGGCUGUACAUCCAAGCACGCGUUUUUAGUGCAUUACAGUCUGGCGAUUGGGAGUGAGUCUUCGUGAGUGACACAUAGCCUAACAUACCCCAUACCAUGUUUACAUUUGUUGGUAUUUGGUUUGUUUUUUGAAGUUAAAUUAAAUUAGUUUGUUAUUGUUUCAAACUGGUGGUGGUCUCCCCUUUUAUGUCGUGGUCAUACGAGCCUGACUGUGACACACACACACACACACUCUUGAAACCUUGAAAAGCUGUAUUUGAAACAGCUGAUUCAUUCAUAAUGGAAGGACUUCAAAAUUUUUUAGUUUACAAUGUUGGACACAAGGCUAUGUAAACUUAACAUAGAAAAGCAAAUCACAUAAGCUCCCAUUUGAGAUGGAGCAUUAUCUUGCCAGCUGGCUCUGUGUACUACCAGGUGCAUGUGCACUGUAAGUGUCCAAAACAUUCAAUGUAUUAAUGAUGUCAAGUACAACAUGUGAGGUAUUGUAUUGUUAAUCAACUGCAAUGAUUUGCCAUAUAGCUGCAGCACCUUCAUCUAGUGCUGGGCAGUCAAAUUUGUUGAUUACUUAAUUUUGAGUUGGUUCAUCUAAAUUAAUCAGACCUCUAUAGUUUAUUGGGUUUUUGAGUUUUUUCAUGGUUUUUUUUCUCAGAUUGAGCUCCCUGAGACUCCUGGCCCCCAAGGAAUGUCAUGUGUGGCCCAUGAAUGGGUUUAAUACAUGCUGUUCAUGUGUGUCUUUAGUCUACUGGCUAUUUUGAUAAUUUAGUGAAACCUUGGCUUUAGUUUGUCUCACUGGUGUAGCAGCCAGCCAUCACUGCUUUACUCCAUUCCAGUGCUUAUUACUUGACUGAGUGAGUGAGUGGGCAGGGGAAAUGGAAGGAAUGAGAAGGGCAGCCCAGCUUGGUUCAGGGAACUCAAACUACAGUAUUCUGAGCUUUCUGAUUGGAACUCAUGAGUAGGAGAUGUUCAAAUAUAUUUUCCCAGUACAUACCAAACUUAAAUUGUUCAAAAUGAUUUGUUCAUUCACACUACUUGCAUCUCACCUCAGAA